CAAGAAAAGAACAAGAUCUGGUCACCCACUCUUAGUAAAACCCAGCUGUGAGUGUCACCCCACAUGCAACCUGCUAUGAAAGCAAAAAGGAACGGGGAUUUUUGCCAGCAAAUAAUGUUUGGGCCUCACCCACACACAAGAGGUGGGAGCACAAAAGGAAAUGUGUUAGCAAACUCUUUCUCCGGAAGCCGCGGUGUUGUAUCCUUCAGGAUCCAGAGACGGGGUUUCAUUGCCAGGCUGGUCUUCAACUCCUGGACUCAAGUGCUCUGCCCCCCUCAGCCUCCCAAAGUGCUGGGAUUACAGGCAUGAGCCACCACACCUGGCUGUUCUGCAGGGUUCCAAUGAAGCUGCUCUCACAGGGUUAACAAGAAUUCUGGACAGAAAUAUGAUUAUAAUUAAGCAUUGAUCACGCUGCUCUUUGACCCACUUUCUCAUAACCCAGAGGUAGCUCAAGAUACUAUUUGCACCCUCAUUGUUCCUAUAGAUAGGGUUUCUGACAUUAGAUUCACGAGGCUUUUGUUAAAGAAUUGCUUAAGCAGAUCAUGAAUUCCAGCAGAAAAUCUGAUGCCAAUAUGUUUCUCCUUCUCCCUGUCCCAUGAUCUCACCCUGUACUCUUCAACCAGUCCAUGAUCUCCAUGCUUUGGAACACUCCAAAACUCUUAAAAACCCUAGCCCCAAAAUCCUCAGGAAGACAGAUUUGAGGCUUCUUCCUGUCUCUUCAUUCAGCAGCCCUACAAUUAAACCUCUUUCUCU
rnacentral:lncRNA from 10 species